GAAAGGAAAGGAAAGGAAAGGACUAUCUUAGUCAUUUCCUUGUUUGGCCCAUGGAUUAAGGGGAGGGAAAAUGUUAAACUUAAUCUCCCUUAAUCCUUCUCUUUUCCCAUUUAUUCCCCCAAUUUCUCCACUUAUUCCCCCAAUUUCCCCACUUAUUCCUUCCUAUUCCCAAUAUAAUCCUCCCAUUUUUCAAAACAAUCCUUCUCUUUCUUCUUUUCCAUCUUCUCUUUCCUCAUUAAUUUUUUCCUUUUCUUCUUUUCACACCCAAACAAUUUAGGGCUUCUCUCUUCCUCUUCUCACAACCGUCUCUCUUACUCUUCUCCCAAUCGUCUCGGUUCCUCUUCUCACAACCGAACAAUUUAUGGCUUCUCUCUUCCUCUUCUCACAGCCGAACAAUUUAGGGCUUCUCUCUUCCUCUUCUCACAACCCAUCAAUUAACUCUUCUAUCUUCCUCUUCUCACAACUAAAGGAAUUCCUCUCUUCCUCUUCGGCACUCACUGAUUUUUCUCCAUUGUUCAACACCAUCAUCUUCACGGUAUUUUGAUGCACGUUGGUUUUCUAAACCUCACAUGUUUUUCUUUGUUGUUCGUCAGUCUUUGAUGUCCCCGUGAAUGUGGGUGUCGUUGAUAGGCCACGUGUAGAAAUAAACGAAGGCCUCCAAUGCCUUAUCUCCGACUGGGCGUUCGUUGACUAGGUGGCUGCUUCCUUGCAUGGCUUGUCCUACGAACUUGCCGCUCGGAUGUUAUUCAUCAUAUUUUCCUUGCCGCUCGAUUAACCUUAAUGGUUGCGACCAUCUUUCAUCCUCUGAUGAGUGACGGAUACUAACCGAGGGUUGUGGCUGUGGUGGUUCCGAGCAAUGUAGGGUCGAGGUAAUAUAUCUUCCUUUUAUUCCACUGUCGAUGAUGAGUUAGUUUUCUGCAUAUGCAUUUUACUUUGAUUGAAACCAACAUUCACAUGUUCUCUUUGAUCUUCAUUAUUACUACUUUUAUUAUGUUCAACCAUUUAUUUUUUUGUUUCAUGACCAUGUCUCUAGAUUACUCUUUCUUUUUUUUUUUUUUCCUUUUGUUGUCCAUUGUAUUUUGUGCUUCUUCUCUGCCUCUAGUUCAAUGAAUUUAUUUUCCUCAUUUGCCUCUGUAUUUGUUUAUUUUUUUUUACUGUUUUUUCACAUCGGUUGGGUAGAAAAAAGAAAUAAAAAAAGACAUUUUCUUUCCUUCACAUGCAGUGACUGUCUCUGACUUGUGUGGCAUGCCCGUGAAUGCUUCUUUGACCAUCCAUUACCUAUUGUUUGUCCUAUCAACACAGCACGUUUGACAGUGGGAUUAAUUUUUUUUUUUUUUUUGGUUGUUGUUGCAUCAUUAAAUUUGCUACUGCCUUCCUUUAUAUAUUGUCCCCUUUCCUCAUUUGAUGUUGUUCUCCUCUGCUUGUCACUUGUUCAUCUACUGUUCUGCAUAUUUUCGUAUGAUAUUCCAUAUUGGUACGUAUUUUUGUUGUUCGUCUUCAUUUUAUCCAUUGAAUGUUCUUCACGUUACUCCAUAUAAUGUGUUUUAUGCAUUUUUUCAUCUAUGAUUUCAUUUCGUAUGUUGCAUUUCAUUUUAUCAGUGCCCUUCAUACCAACGCAUUUGAUAUGGAUGCAAUGCCCUUCAUAUCCCCACAUCUAAUAAGGUCUCCUUACAUUAGUCUAUCCAUGAUAAGUUUAUUUGUCAUUUGAAUUUUGAUUUCAUUUAACUGAACGAACUUUCGUUCUCUGAGGCAGAGUAUAACAUUGUUUAAAAUUUUGUAUACCUAUUCCCAUUUAUUUGUUAACUUUUUGAUUUGGUCACUUUUGUUACGCGUUGUUAGGUACGAACUAUAAGGUACGCUCUUGCACCAUUAUCUCUAUUUUUAUUUAGAGACAUAUAUUCUAAUACAUUGUGGCCUUAUGUAAGUUUCAUCACUGUCUUAUGCAGUACAGUCGAGUGUACGUAGACUACAAUUUCGAGGUACUAGGCAAACAUCGACAUUCUGCUAAAGGUGACCCUUAGCAUACCUUCCAAUGAAUCCCACAAAACUGGCGAAUCUUUUGAACGCCUUUCUACUGGCCCAACGUCAAAUGAUAAUGACGUUUGACACAUUCUUCAAUGAUAGGAGAAGGAUUCCCCAAGUACCGUGUAACACAAGGCAUAGGAUUAGACAGAUUGCGUAUUUUCAUAUGAUACACGAGUCUGACCUUGUAUGUCAGCAAAGUACGUGCAUGGAUAGACGUUGUUACGCAAUUCUUUGCCAUCUCCUACGGACAACGGCUGGAUUAGAAUCGACUGAAGUUGUCGACGUCGAAGAGAUGGUUGCUAUCUUCCUACACGUGCUUGCGCAUGAUGUUAAGAACCGCGAGAUACAAUGAGACUUUGUACGUUCUGACGAGACUGUAUCGAGGCAUUUUAACGUAGUCCUUAUGGUCGUAUUGCGUCUGUCGGAUGAGUUAUUGGCGAAACCACAGCUUGUUCCAAGCGACUGCACAGAUCCCAAGUGGCGAUGUUUAGAGUUUAGGUGUCAUGAAUUCGGUUUCAUUAUACAUAUUGAAUCUUGAUUCUCUCAGAUAAUUGUAUUUGGUCGUUUUAUUAUACGCUGCAAAAUUGCAUGGGUGUCCUUGACGACACGUACAUAAAAGUGAACAUGUCCGCAAGUGAUCGACCUAGAUAUCGAACACGGAAGGGUGAAGGCGACAAAUGUUCUUGGCGUAUGCGAUACAAAAGGGGACUUCAUUUUCAUCUUAUCAGGCUGGAAAGGUUCAGCAACUGACUCUCAUAUCCUACACGGUGCCAUUUCCAGACCCAACGGACUAAGGGUUCCUAAGGGUAAGGAUUAGUGUUUUAGAACUUAAAAAUUACUAUCUUUUUCUACUACCGAUAAUUUUAGUAGAAGAAAAACAACCAUUUUAGGGUUCUACUACCUCUGCGACGCGGGGUACCCAAAUGCGGAGGGAUUUUUGGCUCCGUAUAGAGGACAACGAUACCACCUACAAGAGUGGCGAGGCACUGGAAAUGCACCAACUACAUCGAAGGAGUUCUUCAACAUGAAACACUAGUCUGCACGUAACAUUAUCGAACGAGCGUUUGGUCUUCUGAAGGGUCGUUGGGCAAUAUUUUAUGGAAAGUCGUACUACCCCGUUCAGGUUCAGUGUCGCACUAUUAUGGCUUGUUGUCUACUCCAUAAUCUAAAAAAUCGUGAGAUGACAAAUGUCGACACGCUAGACGACGACGACGACAAGGGUGACUCAAACUAUGCAACGACUGUAGGUGACGACAUCAACUACAUUGAGGCGUCAAACGAAUGGACCCAAUGGAGGGAUGACCUCACACAGUCGAUGUUCAACGAAUGGCAGUCGCGAAACUCCUACAUGGCUAGUUCAUCGAGAAACCCAAAGCACGCGUGGACGAGGGUAGAGGAGUCAUGUCUCGUUAGUUAUCUUGUCGAUCUUGUCUCCGCAGAAGGGUGGAGAUCAGACAACGGCACCUUUCGACCUGGCUACCUUGCGCAGUUACUGAGAAUGCUAGCUAAGAGGAUGCCAUGGUGCAAAUUGACAUUCACUACCGUUGUAGAAAGCAGAAUAAAGUUAUUGAAACGAUUAUUCCAGGAAAUUUCAUAGAUGCGUGGUCCUGCGUGCAGUGGGUUCGGGUGGAAUGAUGACCUUCGGUGCAUCGUUGCGGAGCGGGACAUUUUCGACAGCUGGGUCCGGGUAUGGAAAUAUUUGCAGUUUCGUGUCCACAACAGAUUUAUUACACUGCUGACUAUAUUUUUUUUCAAUAUUUCGACAAGCACAUCCUGUAGCGAAAGGCCUACUAAACAAACCUUUUUCGUAUUACGAUGAUUUAUCAUACGUAUUCGAAAAAGAUCGUGCGACAGGGGCACGUGCAGAAAUGUUCACGGAUAUCGGGUCUAACAACCCCGUAGCUAAUGACAGAGUACGACCGGAGGAUGACCUUGAUAUGGAGUUCCCUAAUAUGUCGAGCCUGAGGAUGAACAUGUCUCCAGAUGACAUGAUGAGCAGGCGUCCUUCGAGGUCGAGUGAUGUUAGACCUAGCUCGAGCGGAAGUAAGAGGAAGCGGAUCAUGCAGCAGAUCGAUAGCUUGGACGUAAUUCGCGAUGUCAUGGAUUGUACGAAUGCACAACUGCGAGCGAUUGCAGAAUGGCCGGAUAAGACCCUACAGAGUGAAGCAUUUGUGCGGUGGGAAGUACUGGCACACCUGCAAUCCAUUCUAGACCUCAGUGAAGAGGACCUAAUGAAAUGUAUAAUGGUCGUGAUGGAAAAAACGUCAUUAAUGCAUACAUUUUUUGAGAUGCCCGAUCACCUGAAGCGUGCCUACUGUAGGGUCAUUCUACGAAAUAACCCAUAAUUGUCGGUCCCUUAUCAUUACUCAUCCGUUAUGUUUUUCGUUUCCAUUGUGGUUGUUUGGUUAUUCUCUGCUAGACUGAUUAAUUAUGUAACUGAUGUUUUCGUUAACUGCAAUUCGAGAAAAUAGUCGUUUUAUUUCAUUUAA